ensembl:lncRNA
UGCCCUUAUCAUUUUCUGCUCAGAUGCUGUGGAUGCAGAUGUCUAUGGAUGGAUGUUUUGGUGUCUAAUUCCCCCUUCAUUAAGCCUCACAGCAGUGUGUUUUUAAUCCAAAAAUGCUCAGAUAUUCAGUAAAGCUGCCUUAAAGCAAACACACAUAAUUACAGCUGAGAGCCCUGUAUUGGAGUGUGUGAUUGUAUAUUGCUUGUGUAGAGUGUCAAGCGUGCGUGCUGCACAUUGUGCCUGGAGAGAUUGAUGUUUUGUCAUCCACCUGCUUCUAAGCUGUAAAGGCAAGCGCAGCAAAGGCAAACCUACCCAGCUUCAAAAUCCAAACAAAGAAAUCUUAGUGGGCUGUUUACAUAUCUGUGGAAGGAUAUCUGGGCUUGUGUUGACGGGGUGCUAGAGUGGUUGAGAGAUCAGUCCCCGCACAAUGGACGAGUGGGAAAUCAAAGACUGGAAUGCUGGGGAAACUGACAGAGGGGUGAGCUCUGGAAAGGAGGACGGAUACUUCCUGUUCCUGCUGGAGUGACCCGCAGGUCUGAGGAGGAGUGAGGGAGAGGAAGGCAGAGAAAGCGAGUUUUCUUUGAAGUACCCUGUGAAACCUGCUGGUGUAAACAUACCUCUGAUUGGGACUCACUGAUGUAAUGGACAAACAAGCACAAAAUGUGUCGAUAUCCAGAUCAAAUCUCCCAGGUGAGCAAUGGCUUGGACCUGCAGAGUUAGCUGGAUGUCUCGUUCUCUUGGCUUCAGCCUGGAAAAGUGCUGAUCAUGGAAGGGGUGCUGGAGGAGCUCUCUCUUGGGCAGAUGGUAGGAAGACAGGGGGAGUAGUCACCCUGCUGCUUGGCCAACAGGGACACACACACAGACGCAUUCACAUACGGCACACCCACACAGGAAACAUUAGAACAACGAUUUGUCAUAGUCUUUCAUUUCGACGGAGGAGUUCUUUUGUUGUUGGAAAUAAGCCUUGUGAGUUUAUUAUUAUCUUCCUCUGAGUCAGUACGUUUAAGAGUUCAGCAGACACCUCUUGUGAUGGUGACGGGCCGUUCUUCUUUCUCUAACUGUCCACAAGCUAUUUAUGAAGAGUUACUCUCAAACUAGCCAUCAAAGUUUUCUUGUUUAUUUCGACAGCUUUUAUGAUGCCAGAACAAAAGAAGCAAACACACAUCUUGCAUAGCAGGGCUCAAACGAUAAGUAUUGUUUUUAGUGAUAGACUGAUAUAUCAGACAGCCUGAUUUUCAAAACGACAUUUGGCAGUUUUUUAGAUUAUCAGCAUCUGUCAGUUAAAUUUUUAGCUACUAUAUAUGCUUACUAGAUGAUGUCAUUGGGAAAAAAAAAAAAAAAAUCUUGUUUAGAGACUUUCUCUCUCUCUCUCUCUCUCUCUCUCUCUCUCUCUCUCUCUAUAUAUAUAUAUAUAUAUAUAUAUAUACAUAUUGAACAGUAAUAUGUUAUGUCAAUUAACAAAAACAACUUACUGUACACCGUAUAGCACAGUAUUACUGCACCAUAACUCUAAACUUUUGCUGGCAUUAAAUACAUAAAAACUCAUGUACAUGAUCUGCAAAUAAGAAAUUGUUGGAACUGUAAGCACUGGCAGGUGACAGUUCCAUCAACUGGCCCCAAACUCUCUCACAUUAGCCCUUAUCCUCAUCAUUGCGCUAUGCCUAGACAGAUCUGCUUAAAACAUCCUUGACAACAAAUGGCGAGGGAUGCAGAUUGUGGCUGUCUUGUCUGUUAGACUGGUGGUAUCAGGAGGGGCGUCUUCAGAUUUGAGAUCCCUGUAGCUAAGCUUACGCAUUUGACUCAGUUCCACGUAACCCAACAUGCUGUUCGACACUAUCCAUCCGCUCCCAUAUGGUUAACCUGGGCUGUGGCUUUGUCAGCUUCCAGGUUUUUUUUUCUUUCUUUCUUUUUGUCAGCCUUAAAAACAGACAAACACAGUGAGAGGUGGGCUAAUUACCACAGGCCUUCCUGUAAUUACUCUUCCAGAGCAGCAGACAGGUUGGGAACAGACAGAUCUGCUGUCUCUCUUACAUGCUUAUCUGCUGCUCACCAGACAGCUCACAAGUUCUACGUGGAUUUGAGGUUCAGCUCGUCCAAUGAGUCGAGAGUCAGGAGUUGUCAAACAUGGUUAUGGUGACGUUUCGAUCUUCACACUCUUGCGUGCCAGACAUUGGCCAUGGUUUUCAUAGCAGUAAUUCAGCAAAGAAAUAUUUCACUUAGUAAAAAAAAGUCUAAGUUAAUGUGUCUCACUCCCCUAGCAGAUUCCUCAAAAAGUGCUUUUAGAGUUGCGUUAGAGAGAAAGUAAUGUGAGAAUGUCCUGAAAAUGUGUCCUUUGUAAAGGUUAUGGAAAGUGCUUUGAACAAUAACUGUCAGCAUUGGGUUGAAGAAGUUAUUUGAGUCGUUAAGCUGCAGAUGGCAUAGCCAUUCAUCGGAUGAUAGUAAUGAAGGAUGCUUGGAGUUAUUUGUAUUUGCAUGUAAAUGUUUUGUUAAAAGUAGGUGAGUUUUGCUAGCCUGAUACAUUUAUGUAUCCCACUGGGAGCGCUGGCCCACUAAGAUGCCAUGGUUGCUCUACAUAAUUAUAAUGGGAAGGUCCCUGUAAACUCAUUAAUAUUUCUGUGAGUUUAAAAUGUAUCUUGUGUUCUCACUUCCUUCAUACUCGAGAGAGAUCAGUCUAGUUCUAGUGUUUAUUACAUGUCUUUAAAGGGGGUAGUUUCCCAAAAUGAAAAUUGUCAUCAUUCAUGAUGUUCCAAACCUAUGUGACUUUCUUCUGUAAAAAAUAAAUAAAUAAAUAAAAGUGAAUAUGAAAAACGG